rnacentral:miRNA from 1 species
UAGUGCUGCAAUGCAAACAUUGCAGUUUCUGAAAAACUGCAGUGUUUUACAUUGCAGAACUA